AGAGUUUGAUCCUGGCUCAGCCUGAACGCUGGCGGCGUGGCUAAGACAUGCAAGUCGAACGGUGUAGCAAUACACAGUGGCGGACGGGUGAGUAAUGAAUCGCUAACGUGCCCUUAGGCCUGGGAUAGCUAGCCGAAAGGUUAGGUAAUACCAGAUGAAAUGAACCCCUCGCAUGGGGGGUUUCUCAAAGCAGCAAUGCACCUUUGGAGCGGGCGAUUUCGUAUCAGCUUGUUGGUGAGGUAACGGCUCACCAAGGCGAUGACGCGUAGCCGGACUGAGAGGUUGGCCGGCCACAUUGGGACUGAGACACUGCCCAGACUCCUACGGGGGGCUGCAGUAACGAAUCUUCCGCAAUGUACGCAAGUAUGACGGAGCGACGCCGCGUGGAGGACGAAGUUCUUCGGAAUGUAAACUCCUGUCAGGGGUUAGAAAGUUCUGAUCAACCCCAGAGGAAGGCACGGCUAACUCUGUGCCAGCAGCCGCGGUAAGACAGAGGUGCCGAGCGUUAGGCGGAAUCACUGGGCUUAAAGCGUGUGUAGGUGGAUGCCUAAGUACCUUGUGAAAUCCCACGGCUUAACCGUGGAACUGCUUGGUAUACUGGGUGUCUUGAGCCAGCUAGGGGCUACCGGAACAAAUGGUGGAGCGGUGAAAUGCGUAGAUAUCAUUUGGAACGCCAAUGGUGAAAACAGGUAGCUGGGGCUGUGCUGACACUGAGACACGAAAGCCAGGGGAGCGAACGGGAUUAGAUACCCUAGUAGUCC
rnacentral:rRNA from 1 species